rnacentral:tRNA from 1 species
GCAUUGGUGGUUCAGUGGUAGAAUUCUCGCCUGCCAUGCGGGAGACCCGGGUCCAAUUCCUGGCCAAUGCA